UGCAUAUCCAAUAAGCGGAGGAAAAGAAACCAACAGGGAUUGCCCUAGUAACGGCGAGUGAAGCGGCAACAGCUCAAAUUUGAAAGCUAGCCUUCGGGUUCGCAUUGUAAUUUGUAGAGGAUGAUUUGGGGAAGCCGCCUGUCUAAGUUCCUUGGAACAGGACGUCAUAGAGGGUGAGAAUCCCGUAUGUGACAGGAAAUGGCACCCUAUGUAAAUCUCCUUCGACGAGUCGAGUUGUUUGGGAAUGCAGCUCUAAAUGGGAGGUAAAUUUCUUCUAAAGCUAAAUAUUGGCGAGAGACCGAUAGCGCACAAGUAGAGUGAUCGAAAGAUGAAAAGCACUUUGGAAAGAGAGUUAAAAAGCACGUGAAAUUGUUGAAAGGGAAGCGCUUGCAAUCAGACUUGUUUAAACUGUUCGGCCGGUCUUCUGACCGGUUUACUCAGUUUGGACAGGCCAGCAUCAGUUUCGGCGGCCGGAUAAAGGCUCUGGGAAUGUGGCCUCCACUUCGGUGGAGGUGUUAUAGCCCAGGGUGUAAUACGGCCAGCCGGGACUGAGGUCCGCGCUUCGGCUAGGAUGCUGGCGUAAUGGUUGUAAGCGACCCGUCUUGAACCACGGACCA
rnacentral:rRNA from 1 species